rnacentral:rRNA from 1 species
AUUGAACGCUGGCGGCAGGCUUAACACAUGCAAGUCGAGCGGGGAUUAGGUGCUUGCACCUAAUUCUAGCGGCGAACGGGUGAGUAAUACCUGGGAAUCUGCCUUGUAGUGGGGGAUAACGUUCCGAAAGGGGCGCUAAUACCGCAUACGUCCUACGGGAGAAAGGAGGGGAUCUUCGGACCUUCCGCUAUAAGAUGAGCCCAGGUCGGAUUAGCUAGUUGGUGGGGUAAAGGCCUACCAAGGCGACGAUCCGUAGCUGGUCUGAGAGGAUGAUCAGCCACACUGGAACUGAGACACGGUCCAGACUCCUACGGGAGGCAGCAGUGGGGAAUAUUGGACAAUGGGGGAAACCCUGAUCCAGCCAUGCCGCGUGUGUGAAGAAGGCCCUUGGGUUGUAAAGCACUUUAAGCGGGGAGGAAGGUUGCUUGGCUAAUAACCAAGUGAAUUGACGUUACCCGCAGAAUAAGCACCGGCUAACUCUGUG